CGAGGUUCGGGGUCGCCACUGUGAUGUACUUGUUCAGGCUGUCUUGAGCUCAACUAUAGAUGACUGUUGAAUUU